rnacentral:lncRNA from 1 species
AUGAAAAUGGUAUCAUAAGCAAGUAGAAGAAGAAUUGUAAGGACUAAGAAUUUGGCAGCGUAGCUAAACUCUCAAUUAAUGAUGUUUUUGUGUGUAUUUUAAUUACAAAAGCACUCGUCAAGUUUCAGAAAAAAACAAGUUAGAAUAAUAAUUUUACGCGAUCUUUAGUUUUCACUUAAGUGAAUAGUAACCCGAGUUUUCAUAGAGUCCAAUGAGUAGAAAUGGCUUCUGGUGCGUAUCGGACUCCGUUCAUGGUGAUCCAAUAGCUAGUUUUCAAUGGUUCGACUAUUCUAGACCCAAUGGCGUUGAUGGAUUUUAGGUUUGACACACGAAUUUUGAGAAAAUUAGAUAUACAUAUAUAUUAUAUAUUUGUGUGUGUGGUUUUGCUAAUUUGGAGAGAGGAUG